CUCUCCCUGAUACUUCCUCUUCCGUUCCCAUUCCUAUCCAGUUUAAUUUAGAGUGGGGCUGGUGUCGUUGGCGUUACGGGAAGUCGUGGCAGAGUUCGCUUGCAGCAACAAGGGCAGGUGGGUGAAUGCUGGCUGGUAGACUGAGUUGCGGCACCGGUAGUGAGUAGCCAUACAGCUGUGUGUCUAGUGUAGGUUCAACAUA